ACUUGUGUGUGUGCUGCUUCAGGUGGGCACAGGACCUGCAUGAGGGACCUAACAGCGCCAGAAGAAGCUGCAGCCCCCAGCACUGGGACCUGGGUGGGGUGGGGCUCUCCCGCUGUCACUCCUGCAAGUCUCCUGCAAGUGUAUAGCACCCCGUGCUCUUUGUCCCCACAGCCAACAUGGCAGCAACCGUGGGCGGCUUCCUUUACUUCUUCACCUACACCCCUUACUUUUUCGUGGCUCCUCGGUACAACUGGAUGACACUGAGUCAGAAGCUCUUGUCCUGCCUCCUAUCUAAUGUUGCCAUGGCGAUGGGAGCCCAGCUCAUCGGAAAAUUUGAAGCCAAAGG
rnacentral:lncRNA from 1 species